rnacentral:rRNA from 2 species
AGGUGCGAUCAUACCAGCACUAAUGAACCGGAUCCCAUCAGAACUUCGCAGUUAAGCGUGCUUGGGCGAGAGUAGUUCUAGGAUGGGUGACCUUCUGGUACACGACUCCGACUAACUCUUA